UCAAAUCCCUUAUGUACAGAUCUGGAAUGACAUCUUAAUAGACAACCCUAAGUGGUUACAGUCUUGUCUUAAACCCCACAAAAACAAGGCUGCAAACAAAACAUCAGUUCUCUUGACUGGGCCCCCUUUAAAGGGAAAGCCCGGGCCUACAAAUAAAAGAGAAAAACCGAGCCCCAUCUAGUUGACCAGCCAGAGGAUCCCCUACUACUGGGGCCCCCACCAUAUCCGGCUGCCCCUCCCCCGAUCCAGCUCCUAGAAGAGUCCCUGAGCCCUGCAGCCCUCCACACACCCGGAGUGGCUCACACUAUAACCCUUCCCCAGAUCCCCCCUGGCCGGGGUCCGACUCCUCAGGGGCGCCAAUCCUUCCUCUGAGACAGGUCCCUUCCCCACUGGGAACUGACUGCCCUCCGUUCAUGGUUUAUGUCCCCUUCUCAACUAGUGACUUGCAUAACUGGAAACACCAAAACUCCUCUUUCUCUGAGAAGCCUCAGGGACUAAUUUCUCUCCUGGAGACUGUCUCUUAUACUCACCAGCCAACUUGGGAGGACUGCCAGCAGCUCCUCCAAACCCUCUUCACUUCUGAAGAGCAUGAGCAGAUGAGGAGGGAGGCGGUCAAAACCAUCUCUGGCCCGGAUGGGCAACCCACGACUGACCCAGUCCAGGUAGAGAUUGUUUUCCCCUCUGCGCGACCAGACUGGGACCCAAAUGAGGAACGAGGUAAGGAGGAACAAUUGGUAUCGCCAGACUCUGCUAGGAGGCAUAAGGGCAGCAGCUAAAAAGCCGACUAAUCUGUCCAAGGUAAGCGAAACCAUACGGGGACCUAACCAGUCCCGGGCGGUGUUCCUAGAACGCCUUUUUGAAGCUUACCGCCUGUAUACUCCUAUAGACCCAGAGGCACCCGAAAAUAGACGUGCCAUUAAUAUUGCUUUGCCACUCAGUCGGCCCCAGAUAUUAGGAGAAAGCUGCAGAGAUUAGAAGGAUUUGAGGGAAAAAUGCCGUCUGAGUUAGUAGAAAUUGCCCAGAAGAUUUAUAACAACAGAGAGGACCCUGGGGCUGCACAGUCUAAAAGAAUGGCCAAAAUUCUAGUAUCUGCCAUGAUGGAACAAGAAAAACAUGAGGAUAAAAAGGGGAAGGGGGCCAAGGGACAGGACUGCAGUGACAGAAAAAGAGAGGGCCUAGACCGUGACCAGUGUGCCUAUUGCAAGGAACGUGGCCACUGGAAAAUUAAAUGUCCUUACCGAAGAAAAAGGGGGGCUAAGCCUGUGCUGGUCCUCAUGGAGGACACAGACUGACGGGGCCGGGGCUCCAUCCCAAUAAGCCCCCAGGAGCCCAAGGUAACUCUCAAUGUCGGGGGCAAGCCUAUAGGGUUUCUAAUAGGCACUGGAGCCACACACUCCGUUCUCCAACAGGCCGAGGGACCCAUCUCUGAAAAGAAAACCCUUAUCCAAGGGGCCACAGAGAAAACCAAGGCCUAUCCCUGGACUAGAACCAGAAUAACCAACCUUGGGGCGGGAACCAUCACCCACUCGUUCCUGGUAACGCCAGAAUGCCCGUACCCUCGCCUGGGAAGAGACCUGCUCCAAAAAUUGCAGGCGACCAUAUCCUUUCAGGGGGACGUGGCCGAACUCUCAUUCAACUCAGGCCCAUCCACUAGUCCUUCUUACUUGCCCCUUGUCAGAGGAGUAUUUGCUGGCUACGGAGGCCCCCUCCCUAGGGGCCUCAGGUCCCUACCUAUGAGAAUUACGGAACAGGAUUCCUAAUGUUUGGGCAGAAACAAACCCACCUGGGCUGGCCUCCCACCAGCCCCCCAUCAUUGUCCAGUUAACCAGUACAGCCACCCCGAUCCGGGUCAGACAAUACCCUAUAAGCCUAAAGGCAAGAAAGGGACUUGCGGUCCACAUCAAAAGACUCCGGGAGGCAGGCAUUUUAGUUCCUUGUCAGUCGGCCUGGAAUACGCCUCUGCUCCCGGUCCAAAAGCCGGGGACCGACGACUACCGACCAGUGCAAGACCUCCGGGAAGUCAACAGAGAAUUGAGACCAUUCACCCCACUGUGCCUAGCCCGUAUACACUUCUGAGUUUGCUGCCUCCGAGUCAUCAGAUCUACAUGGUGCUGGACCUGAAGGACGCCUUCUUCUCACUUCGUCUAUUCACAGCUGGAUCCUGCAGCAUCUGGCUGGACAAACUGUCUGCAAGUCAUCGCUGUGACUGCCGUGCUAGUCAAGGAGGCCUCCAAACUAACGUUGCGGCAGGACCUGCAAAUUGUAGCCCCUGAUUCGGUGGAGGCCUUGCUAAAGAGUCCCCCCGAGAGCUGGCUCUCAAACUCCUGCAUAACCCAAUAUCAGGUGCUGUUGCUAGACCCCCCCAGAAUCCAGUUCCUAAAAACAGCCUCCCUCAAGCUUGCCACCCUACUCCCAGAUGAUGAGCCGUCGGAGCCACUCCAUGACUGUCUUGAAGUGCUCGAGUCUCUUGCCAACCUAAGGACAGAUCUUAUGGAUCAACCGUGGCCAGAUCCUGACGAGAAGCUAUCCACAGAUGGGAGCAGCUAUAUGUCUGAGGGAGUCAGGGACUACUACCUUCCUCGGCUACAUCAGAUGGCCCAGCAGGUAACAACGAGAUGCCACAUCUGUGCACAAGUCAACUCAGCUUCAUUUCAGGUGCAGCCUGGAGACCUCGUCUGGGUAAAGGAACUUCAACCUGCUAGCCUGGAAGCCAAGUGGACUGGACCGCUGCCUGGGAUCCUUGCCACUCCUACUGCGGUGAAAGUCGCGGGAAAGCGCCACUGGAUUCACCACACCCACGUCAGAAAGGCUUCCCCGGACCAGCUUCCAGAGAGAUGGACCGUCCAGGCUACCGAGGGCCCACUAAAGAUAAGACUUCCCAAAGACUCCUCUGGUUCCUCCUAAUUGCUUGUGUCAAUCUCACCACAGACACCCUCCCCCCUACCGACCUAUACACUACAUCUGGGUACUAACUAAAACGGUAGACGGAACUGUUAUAGCCCAAAACUCCACCCUACCCCAGCCGGUCCUCCACUUUGACCUCUGCCAGUUGUUCAGGGAUGAGAACAAACAAUGGCAUUGGGGAGGAUACGGGGGACCGGGCUGUGGGUCUGACAGACUAAAACUAGGGUUACAAGCUUAUCAGCACUAUGCCUGUCCCACAAUUGGGCCACAGCAAUGUCAGAAAGAGGGUGAGUAUCAUUGUGCCAAGUGGGGUUGUGAAACUAUAACAUCUUGGGUUAACAAAGACCCCCAUAUUUCUCUAACUCAGGGCACACGCAGUUGCACCACUAAUAUAUUAGGAUCCCGCAACCCCAUAACAAUCAAAAUGUAUCAGUGGCACACUCAAGAAUGGGCUUCUGGGAAGACAUGGGGUUUCAGACUAUAUGCCACUUACUGUCCGAACUCAGACCCAGGAGUCCUGUUCACCAUACAGAGAUUCACUCCUGCAAGGCCCAACAACCCUAUAGGACCUAACCGAGAUCUAUAUCUUAGUUUGUCACCUGUACAACCCCCCAAGCCCAUUGGCCAACCUACCCCCUCACUGGACACAUCUUUAGCCCACCCUUCUCACACCCUCACACCCGUUCCAUACAGGCAGCCCCUACUGAACUUGUUAAGCUCAGUCUAUAGGUUCCUAAAUCAAACUAGUCCUAACAUAACCGAGGACUGUUGGCUCUGCUUAAACCCUGAGCCCCCUUAUUACAUAGGGAUCGGGGCCACCCGCCACUGGCCCCACAGAGACAGAUAUUAAAAACUCAACAACAAAAGAAGCCCAAAAAAGACAUUAUUGCAAAUGGGGUCAGAAGCCUAAGCUCACUCUAAAAGAUCUCCAAAAACAGGGGACUUGCAUUUGUUCCCCUGAGUUUAUCUUAGCCAGGUCCCCUACCGUGACUCCUGUAGCUCUGUUAUAAAGAUAAAUUCCACUGAUCUGGAAGGCAAGAUGCUGUUAAUCACCCCUGAAGGUGCCUGGUUUGCCUGCACAACGGGAAUCCCCCCUUGUGUGCGGCCAUCCAUAAUAUACCAAAAAAACAAGCUCUGUGUCCUUGUAUAUAUUGUUCCCCAAGUAUACUAUUAUUCUGGUGAGGGACAAAGAGAGCAUUUACAAGCUCCAGCCCCCUCUCGUGUCAAACGAGCUAUACCUGUGUUAGUCCCUGCGCCUAUAGGUUUAGGAAUUGCGGGUUCUACAGCUGUAGGAACUUCUACACUUAUAAGCAGCAAUCAAAAUUUUAAAGCUUUAAGUCAGCAAAUAGACCUUGAUCUCAGUGACUUAAAAAGUUCUGUCAGUCGCUUAAAACAAUCAAUACACUCCCUUGCAGAAGUAGUCCUCCAAAAGCAUCGGGGCCUAGACCUCUCAUUUCUAAAACAAGGGGGUCUUUGUGUGGCCUUCAGCAAAACUUGCUGCUUCUAUGCAAACCACUCCGGUAUUAUAAAAAAUAGCCUUUCCCAGGUACAAAACAUACUAAGAAAAAGAAAGCCAGAAAACACACAAUAACUGGUAUAAAAACUUAUUUUCCUGGUCCCCGUGGAUGACAACACUUUUGUCAGCUAUAGCGGGACCUGUUAUUUCCAUUAUGCUGGCACUGCUUUUGGCCCCUGCAUUAUAAACAGCCUGACUUCCUAUGUUAAACAAAGAAUUCAAGCUGUCAAGCUUAUGGUUCUCCAGACUCACUAUCCGCACAUCUAUAAUGCUAAUAACAAAGAAUCAACGAUUUGAUUCCCCCUAAAAACCAGUGGGGAAUGUCAGAGUAUGGGUUUCAUGCCGAAAAAAUCAUUAACCUGCUAUCUCGCUUCUGUAAAACUGCUUGCUAAAGACAGUGCCCCAAGCGUGGGAAUGCAACACCCAUGUUCUGCAUGACCAGGCCCUAAAACUGCCCAGAUCCUGUUGCACCAGGACAUGAGAGUGAUGUAAUGCUGCUUUUUUGCCCCUGUAAUUAUGCUUGCUCUGCCCCAGUGAUUUUUCACCCACGAUAAAAGCUUUCCGUUUCAAAGGCUCAGGGCUGCUCUCUAUGCCUGUACCCUCUGCAGCACAGGAGAAGUCGCUGGCCAGCUAAUGAAGACUCCUAAUUUGGCUCAA